rnacentral:ncRNA from 1 species
GGGGACCUUCGGGGGCCCUAUCAAUCGCGGCGCGUAAAGUGCUGCAUUUAUAACGGAAGACAGAAA